rnacentral:rRNA from 1 species
UACGGAGGGGGCUAGCGUUGUUCGGAAUUACUGGGCGUAAAGCGCACGUAGGCGGCUUUGUAAGUUAGAGGUGAAAGCCCGGGGCUCAACUCCGGAAUUGCCUUUAAGACUGCAUCGCUAGAAUUGUGGAGAGGUAAGUGGAAUUCCGAGUGUAGAGGUGAAAUUCGUAGAUAUUCGGAAGAACACCAGUGGCGAAGGCGACUUACUGGACACAUAUUGACGCUGAGGUGCGAAAAGC